rnacentral:rRNA from 1 species
GACGAACGCUGGCGGCGUGCCUAACACAUGCAAGUCGAACGGAACUUCUUUAAAGGAUUUCUUCGGAAUGAAUUUGAUUAAGUUUAGUGGCGGACGGGUGAGUAACGCGUGAGUAACCUGCCUCUAAGAGGGGAAUAACAUUCUGAAAAGAAUGCUAAUACCGCAUAAUAUAUAUUUAUCGCAUGGUAGAUAUAUCAAAGAUUUAUCGCUUAGAGAUGGACUCGCGUCCGAUUAGUUAGUUGGUGAGGUAACGGCGUCACCAAGACCGCGAUCGGUAGCCGGACUGAGAGGUUGAACGGCCACAUUGGGACUGAGACACGGCCCAGACUCCUACGGGAGGCAGCAGUGGGGGAUAUUGCGCAAUGGGGGAAACCCUGACGCAGCAACGCCGCGUGAAGGAUGAAGGUCUUCGGAUUGUAAACUUCUUUAUUAAGGACGAAGAAAGUGACGGUACUUAAUGAAUAAGCUCCGGCUAACUACGUG